rfam:Schistosoma rodhaini strain Burundi genome assembly, scaffold: SROB_scaffold0000007
AUCCAGCUGACGUGUUCCAAGUAGGAUGAAACGUGCUUCUUGGAU